rnacentral:lncRNA from 1 species
UUUGGAUUUUGUUUUUAAGACGGUGUCUUGUCGGUUGAUACAGGCGGUGACUUCCAACAAAGCGGGCUGGUGUGCUAAAUAACUUCAUUACAGGCAUCUGAACAACAGUGGAAUGACUUUCAACCUGGACUGUGAAAGCUGUGUGAGCCCAGAUGUUUAUCACAGAAGCAAACAGAAAUGGAAGAAGGAAUGCGAACAUCAGAGAUGGAGAAGAUCUGGGUCACUACAAGUCAGGCCUGGCGAGAGCGCAGCAGGAUCCAAGUUAAAGUUCUGUGGUGUUUGCUGUGG